rnacentral:rRNA from 1 species
UACGUAGGGGGCGAGCGUUGUCCGGAAUUAUUGGGCGUAAAGCGCUCGUAGGCGGUGUGUCACGUCGGCCGUGAAAACCUGCAGCUUAACUGUGGGCGUGCGGUCGAUACUGGCAUCACUGGAGUUCGGCAGGGGAGACUGGAAUUCCUGGUGUAGCGGUGAAAUGCGUAGAUAUCAGGAGGAACACCGGUGGCGAAGGCGGGUCUCUGGGCCGAUACUGACGCUGAGGAGCGAAAGCGUGGGGAGCAAACAGG